rnacentral:tRNA from 1 species
UGGCGCAGCUGGGCCAUCCUGGACUUGAACCAGAGACCUCGCCCGCAAUUAUCAGGGGCGCGCUCUACCACUGAGCUAAUAGCCC